rnacentral:sRNA from 1 species
AGUCAAGGUCCGGAGUCCAUGGGUUAACUUGAACCCCCAACCCCAUGGACACUAACUUGACCUGUC